UACAGAGGGUGCGAGCGUUGUCCGGAAUCACUGGGCGUAAAGGGCGCGUAGGCGGCUUGAUAAGCGUGCGGUGAAAGCCCGGGGCUCAACCCCGGGUCGGCCGUGCGAACUGUCGAGCUGGAGCACUGUAGAGGCAGGUGGAAUUCCGGGUGUAGCGGUGGAAUGCGUAGAGAUCCGGAAGAACACCGGUGGCGAAGGCGGCCCGCUGGGCCGUGGCUGACGCUGAGGCGCGACAGCGUGGGGAGCAAACAGG
rnacentral:rRNA from 1 species